rnacentral:misc_RNA from 1 species
UCCGGUUUGUCACCGGCAGUCUUGCAUGAGUCCCCGGCCGAACCGACCCCGUGUUUCCACGGGUGCGACCUACAUGUCAAGCCCAGGUAAGGUUCUUCGCGUUGCGUCGAAUUAAACCACAUGCUCCGCUGCUUGUGCGGGCCCCCGUCAAUUCCUUUGAGUUUUAGCCUUGCGGCCGUACUCCCCAGGCGGGGCACUUAAUGCGUUAGCUUCGGCACGGAGGGAGUCGACACCCCCCACACCUAGUGCCCAUCGUUUACAGCGUGGACUAC